UGGGGAUUAUUGCACAAUGGGGGAAACCCUGAUGCAGCAACGCCGCGUGGAGGAAGACACCCUUAGGGGCGUAAACUCCUUUUAUCAAGGAAGAAGAUGACGGUACUUGAUGAAUAAGCACCGGCUAACUCCGUGCCAGCAGCCGCGGUAAUA
rnacentral:rRNA from 1 species